GUUCUCGUAGUUGAGAGAUACAACGAUAGUUUUUCAAGCCAUAGGCCCCGGUUGAAGUCCGGGCGAGAAUA